rnacentral:rRNA from 1 species
AUUGAACGCUGGCGGCAGGCCUAACACAUGCAAGUCGAACGAGUGGCGGACGGGUGAGUAAUGUCUGGGAAACUGCCUGAUGGAGGGGGAUAACUACUGGAAACGGUAGCUAAUACCGCAUACCAUCAGAUGUGCCCAGAUGGGAUUAGCUAGUUGGUGGGGUAACGGCUCACCAAGGCGACGAUCCCUAGCUGGUCUGAGAGGAUGACCCGCCACACUGGAACUGGGACAAUGUUCAGACUCCUACGGGAGGCAGCAGUGGGGAAUCUUGCGCAAUGGGCACAAGCCUGUUGCAGCCAUGCCGCGUGUAUGUAGAAGGGCUUCGGGUCGUAAAGUACUUUCAUCGGGGAGGCGUUACCCGCCGAAGAAGCACCGGCUAACUCCGUGCCAGCAGCCGCGGUAAUUC